rnacentral:rRNA from 1 species
CCGCCCGUCACAUCACGAAAGUGGACUGUACUAGAAGUCGGUGCGCUAACCCGCAAGGGAGGCAGCCGCCCAAGGCAUAGUUCAUGAUUGGGGUG